UACGUAGGGUGCGAGCGUUGUCCGGAAUUAUUGGGCGUAAAGAGCUCGUAGGCGGUCUGUCGCGUCUGCUGUGAAAUCCCGAGGCUCAACCUCGGGCUUGCAGUGGGUACGGGCAGGCUAGAGUGCGGUAGGGGAGAAUGGAACUCCUGAUGUAGCGGUGGAAUGCGCAGAUAUCAGGAAGAACACCGAUGGCGAAGGCAGUUCUCUGGGCCGUAACUGACGCUGAGGAGCGAAAGCGUGGGGAGCGAACAGG
rnacentral:rRNA from 1 species